rnacentral:rRNA from 1 species
AUUGAACGCUGGCGGCAUGCCUUACACAUGCAAGUCGAACGGUAACAGCACUUCGGUGGCUGACGAGUGGCGAACGGGUGAGUAAUACAUCGGAACGUGCCCGAGAGUGGGGGAUAACGCAGCGAAAGCUGUGCUAAUACCGCAUACGAUCUACGGAUGAAAGCAGGGGAUUCGCAAGGACCUUGCGCUCAUGGAGCGGCCGAUGGCAGAUUAGGUAGUUGGUGGGAUAAAAGCUUACCAAGCCGACGAUCUGUAGCUGGUCUGAGAGGACGACCAGCCACACUGGGACUGAGACACGGCCCAGACUCCUACGGGAGGCAGGCAGUGGGGAAUUUUGGACAAUGGGCGAAAGCCUGAUCCAGCCAUGCCGCGUGCAGGAUGAAGGCCUCGGUUGUAACU